rnacentral:rRNA from 1 species
AUGAACGCUGGCGGCGUGCUUAACACCUGCAAGUCGAACGAAACACCUUAUUUGAUUUUCUUCGGAACUGAAGAUUUGGUGAUUGAGUGGCGGACGGGUGAGUAACGCGUGGGUAACCUGCCCUGUACAGGGGGAUAACAGUCAGAAAUGACUGCUAAUACCGCAUAAGACCACAGCACCGCAUGGUGCAGGGGUAAAAACUCCGGUGGUACAGGAUGGACCCGCGUCUGAUUAGCUGGUUGGUGAGGUAACGGCUCACCAAGGCGACGAUCAGUAGCCGGCUUGAGAGAGUGAACGGCCACAUUGGGACUGAGACACGGCCCAAACUCCUACGGGAGGCAGCAGUGGGGAAUAUUGCACAAUGGGGGAAACCCUGAUGCAGCGACGCCGCGUGAGUGAAGAAGUAUUUCGGUAUGUAAAGCUCUAUCAGCAGGGAAGAAAAUGACGGUACCUGACUAAGAAGCCCCGGCUAACUACGUG